UCCAAUUGAAACACACACUUCUCGGGAAACAAGAUAAAAAAUAGGACGGUUAAAUCAGGUUGAUCACGUGGCACGUGGAAUCCCAUUACCACCACGUUUCCCAUCCCCCAAAAAGAUCACAUCGUCGAAUCAAUUCCACGUUGUCCCCAAACUCAAGCUCCGUCACCCUAACAUCUCUCCUCUCCCCCAAAAAAACCGAGUCAAACAUUCCCAAUCAGAACUCUUUCUGGCCACUCGAUAAUAAUAUUCCACGCGCCCUCACGCGCGCUUGUCAGUCUCCCUGAUCCCAACAGAAUCACAAACCCCAAACCCCAAAAACAACAACAAAAUAAAAAUCCCCAAGUAUCCCAAAGCCUAGGCAAAACAAAAUCCAGGGCGACUGAAAUUUUCUACUAGAGAAUCUGUGGGUAAAGAGAGAAACUGUCGCCGAAUAUGGCGUCGUCGAAAGUAAUGCGGACUUCAAAUUCCCGAAAUUCGGAUCUCUCCCGACGCUCUGCUUCUUCUUCUUCUUCUUCCUCUUCAAAACCCCAAUCUUUCUCCGAUCAAAACAACAGCAGAUUAAGCUCAACAAUGACGGCCGACGGCAUUCUCCGAAACGUUUACUCAGCUGCUCCCAGUACGGAGACGACUCUGGUCGAUGCUUCCAUUACUGUAAUUGACACUCCGAUUCCCACCGCCGUCGCCGAUCAUUCCGAAGUUUCUCACGAUCAAACCGUGGCGGAUUGUAAUAACAAUGUGGCGAAAAGUGUAGACGAGGUUUGGAGAGAAAUAGUGUCCGGCGAGAGGAAAGAGAUCACGAUGAAAGAGGAAGCGCCCGACGAGAUGAUGACUUUGGAAGAUUUCUUGGCGAAGGCUAGUGCAGUGGAAGAAGCGGUGGCGGCUGCAACAACGGAGGUGAAGGUGCAUCCGGAUAGAUUGAGUGGAGGGGUCUACGCGUUUGAUCCUGUAGGAGAGAGUGCGUUUCAAAUUCUGGAUAAGAUGGAGGGGUCAAUUGUUGGGUUGGGGAACGGGAUGGAAGUCAUUGGAAGUGGAGGAGGGGGAGGAAGAGGGAAGAGAGCAAGAGGGAUUUUGAUGAAGCCCUUGGAUAAGGCGGCGCAGCAGCGGCAGAGGAGGAUGAUUAAAAACAGGGAAUCCGCGGCCAGAUCUAGGGAAAGGAAGCAGGCAUACCAAGUUGAAGUCAUUAGCAGUGAAGCUUGAAGAGGAGAACGAGUGGCUGUUGAAAGAAAAGGCUGAGAGGACUAAGGAAAGGCUUAAGCAGAUGAGUGUAUCUAUUUCGGGGUGAGGAAUUUUGUGAUUCUGUCAUUGUUCAAGGAUUCAAUAAUUGGCCCUUGUUUACCCUCUUAUACAUUAGUUGGUCUUGAUAUUUGUUUUAGUUCUUAAAUAAUACUUGAGUGAGAAAAUGCAGUUAUGGCCGAAAGAGAAUCCAGCAAUAAAUUGGGCCUAUUAAAUUCCUAAAUAGUUGCUUAUCAUGUUGAUUUGUGGUGUAGCUCAUGGAAAAAGUGGUUCCAGUUCUGGAGCAGCAAAGACCACCACGUAUGCUCCGUAGAGUUUGUUCUUUGCAAUGGUAGAUAUUAUUUUCUUGAGA